AGCUGGAUGCUUCCAGGCCUUGAGCAGUGGAAUAUGCUGACCCUGGCAAGACAAGCAGUGGUGGGGAGUGCAGCAAGGUCGCAUGCCUCAUACGGGUCCCAUCUGAAGUCAUCAAGCAAAGGGCCCAAGUUUCUCCUUCCUCUGGUACCUUUCGGAUCCUCUCCCACACCUUGUAUCAUGAGGGUAUUCAAGGACUUUAUCGGGGAUAUA